rnacentral:rRNA from 1 species
CUACGGGGGGCAGCAGUGGGGAAUAUUGGACAAUGGGGGAAACCCUGAUCCAGCAAUGCCGCGUGUGUGAAGAAGGCCUGCGGGUUGUAAAGCACUUUCGGUUGGGAGGACUGCUUCUAGCACUAAUAUUGUUGGAAGUUGACGUUACCUUCAGAAGAAGCACCGGCUAACUCUGUGCCAGCAGCCGCGGUAUACGGAGGGUGCAAGCGUUAAUCGGAAUUACUGGGCGUAAAGCGCGCGUAGGCGGCUAGAUCAGUCGGGUGUGAAAGCCCCGGGCUUAACCUGGGAACUGCAUCCGAUACUGUCUAGCUUGAGUACAGGAGAGGAGAGUGGAAUUCCACAUGUAGCGGUGAAAUGCGUAGAUAUGUGGAGGAACACCAAUGGCGAAGGCAGCUCUCUGGCCUGAUACUGACGCUGAGGUGCAAAAGCGUGGGGAGCAAACAGGAUUAGAUACCCCAGUAGUC